GACUACGGCCGUGCCACCCUGAACAAGCCCGAUCUUGUCUGAUCUUGGAAGUUAAGUAGGGUAGGGCCUGGUUAGUACUCGGAUGGGAGACCACCUAGGAAGACCAGGUGCUGUAGGUA
rfam:Pteropus alecto contig103308, whole genome shotgun sequence.